rnacentral:rRNA from 1 species
GUAGGUGGCAAGCGUUGUCCGGAAUUAUUGGGCGUAAAGCGCGCGCAGGUGGUUCUUUAAGUCUGAUGUGAAAGCCCCCGGCUCAACCGGGGAGGGUCAUUGGAAACUGGGGAACUUGAGUGCAGGAGAGGAAAGUGGAAUUCCACGUGUAGCGGUGAAAUGCGUAGAUAUGUGGAGGAACACCAGUGGCGAAGGCGACUUUCUGGCCUGUAACUGACACUGAGGCGCGAAAGCGUGGGGAGCAAACAGGGAUUAGAUACCCUGGUAGUCCACGCCGUAAACGAUGAGUGCUAAGUGUUGGGGGGGUUUCCCGCCCCUCAGUGCUGCAGCUAACGCAUUAAGCACUCCGCCUGGGGGUACGGUCGCAAGACUG